GAGAGUUCUGCUCUGCCGAACCCGGGCUCACUGUGCAUACCCAGAUCAGAUCAUCUUCAUCAAGGCAUCAACUCAUCUGCCAGUGAAAAGAAGAUUGCCCCAGCACUUGCUGAUUCACAAGGACCUUCAGCUCCAGAUUUGAACUGUGGAGACAUCCAACUCUAUGGGCUGAGCAGCUAUCGGUUUCUCAACCCCUCCAGCAUCUAGGCAAACACUGUCGGAUAACCCAGGUCAUCUACCUGGAGCCACUGCUAUGUGCUUCACAGCUGCAGAAGGAUCUCAAGUCAUCAUUGAUAACGAUCAAGCUUGAACAGUGACGUUGCCGCCACAGGAAGCCAUUUGUCCGUAAUGAGCAACUAGAGACGGUUCGCUCGCGCCGCUUUUCUUACGGCCCCUCUCCUUCAUUCUCAACGCCAACCUGAACAUUCUUUACCCAGCCAAUAUCAUCCUAUGCUGAACUCCUCUGGACUCAAUAGAAAGGAAUUCUGGUCUCUUUUAGCUUUCCAUCACUACUUAAGAACAGUAGUUCUAUGUGUCGAGUGCACAUGGCUGCCCAAGGCUCGCAGAGCCCUAUUGUCUUCUAUACCUAGAAACUUGCUGUUUCUCAGCAAUGUUAGGCAGUCUAUUAAAGCAUUUACAGAAUUAAGUCAAAGCCAAAAUGACUUUUGUCCCAUUUGGCAUACACUAAAAACACCAAGGUUUUCCAAACCUCCUUUGAGUAGAAAACUUGCAAAGCUGAGAGCAAGACCACCCUUCCCCAGCUCCCACAGACUACCUCCAGGCCUGCCCUUAUCCUGAGUCCCACCGGACAGGACACCUGUCAACUCAAAAUGCCAUUCCUUUAGCAGCAUGUGACCUAACUGAAUAUCCUUGAAGGUUUUUUUUUGUUAGUCAAUAUUCCUGCUUUCACCCAAUGUCAAGGAUUUCCAAUCUGUUCCCUUUACUCCCUUUAUGCCCUUGUAGAAUCUCUGAUAAAAUUAUAAUAUUAUAGUCUAAGUGUGCAGAACAGAAUACAAAUAGAUCUGUAAGUCAACUCCAGCCAGUAGAAAAAGGUGACCCUUUAGGAAACAUCAGCCGAACAAUGAGCUCAGUGCUUCUGCAGCUUCCCUGGGAAUAUCUUCCAGGCUCAUUUGUCAAUGUGAAUUAUCUGUUACUCUCAGCAUCAAAGGCUGUCUUACAAACUCAAGAAGUCUAUCAUAAAUGAUAAUAUUCUCAACAAUAUUGGCAGACUCUAUUUAGUUGAGAAUAAUAUUGGUCUUCUCGUUAUGAACUUCUGGUCACCUUUUUUUUGGCUUUUACAAGUAGAAAGCAUUGAUUUGCUUCUGGAACAUAGGCCUUUGAGCGAAUUCCCCACUGUGAAGAAACUCUAAGAGUCUAGUAAUUUAUCAAAUCAAUUUUAAGUAAACAAAAGCAAGGCUUAUUUGCAAUCAUUGCCAGAAUUAAUAAAAAUAACAUUCUAAGGAUAUUUAAUGUGUUUAAAUAGUCAUCAGUAAAAAAAAAAAUCAGAUUAUUCCAUUUUAAUUUCAGCUCACAGUGUUGAAAUAUAUAGACAGGAUAUAAUAUUCAACUUUAAAUAAAUAAACAUGAGUCCGAACUAGCUGCUUUGAAAUUAGCACUUCCAUUCUGUAUAUGAAGUUUGAGGCUUACCUGGAGAAAGCAGUUAUUCUAAUCAAGACCCAAGUCAAACCUAGCAUAUGAGCCCACCUCUUCUUUAUCCCAUUAAUGUCUGCUCAGCUUACCUUCCACAACGCAUGUGAUGAGGCAGCAGACUCCCAGGAAAGUCAGGAGGGGAAGUCUCAUGGCUGAGGUCCUAUUGAGCUGUGCAGGAAGAAUGUGGGGCAGACUCCCCAGGAGCCCCUUUUAUUACUCUCAAUGCUGUGAGGCUAAGGUCGGAUCUUCCAUCCUGAAGCCAGUCCGUGUCAUGGCUCAGUGUGAUAACAGGACAAAGGAAAUUGAGGUGGUGUGGUCAUGGUGGUCCAUCCCACCUGCCGCCUGAGACUGAAGGCAUCUACAACCACAGAUCAGCCCCCGGUGGCCCUGCCUGACUCCACAGGAAAGCAAAGAGCUUGCUGCUGCUCUGGCUUCCCCUUCCUUGUCUUCUCCUUCCUUAGCCUUACUCAGGUUGCACCCAUUUCUUCAACAGGAGGAGGAACAAUAGCAUAUCUCUAUGCAUGCUUGCUGUUUGGGGGAAACAGACAUAAACAGGUAUGGUUAAGCUUAUUGAAAAACUGUUCUAUAAUCUUAUUUUAGAAAAAAAAAAAACAAAACCAAAGUUCCAUCCCCAGCACCCAUACCUAUGCACUUCACAGUCACUUAUCACUCCUGCUCCAGGGAAUCUAACGACCUCCUCUGAUCUCCAUGAGCACUCGACUACAGGCGCAGGUAGACUCAAAUAUAUACAAGUAAAUAAAUAAAAGUUCCAGCAGUCUCCCUUCUAAGGGUGUUCAUGUGUUUACACAAUUAUGAUCAUGACAAUUGCUGUUUCAGCAAAUUAAAAAGUUAGAUAGCUGCUCCUGUUUCUUCUGUUUCUUCUUUUGCUCUUGUACUUUGAGCAAGCACGCACACGUUAGAUAGCCUCCUCUGCUACUGCGACACAGACACAGCUAUAAGGUUAUUUUUUCAACAGUAUAAUCUGGUCUGAUUCCAUUAAUAAUCAGGAAGGUGGAGAGUGGGAGAAAGCAUAUUGCUGUACUUGUAGCUCUUGCUACCUUUGUAUAAUCUUCCCAAAAUAUAGUUUUCAUUUGCAAUGUCUCCAACAGAGUUUUAGUAAGUACAUCGAUUAUACCAACCUUUCUGAUACUCCAUUUUAGUUUUGUUUCUUAGUUUAUAUAGUUAUCAACAAAGUAUGUUUAUUG
rnacentral:lncRNA from 1 species